CUGCCCAAAAGAGGGGGAUAACACUUGGAAACAGGUGCUAAUACCGCAUAACCAUAGUUACCGCAUGGUAACUAUGUAAAAGGUGGCUAUGCUACCGCUUUUGGAUGGGCCCGCGGCGCAUUAGCUAGUUGGUGGGGUAAAGGCUUAUCAAGGCAAUGAUGCGUAGCCGAACUGAGAGGUUGAUCGGCCACAUUGGGACUGAGACACGGCCCAAACUCCUACGGGAGGCAGCAGUAGGGAAUCUUCCACAAUGGGCGAAAGCCUGAUGGAGCAACGCCGCGUGGGUGAAGAAGGUCUUCGGAUCGUAAAACCCUGUUGUUAGAGAAGAAAGUGCGUGAGAGUAACUGUUCACGUUUCGACGGUAUCUAACCAGAAAGCCACGGCUAACUACGUGCCAGCAGCCGCGGUAAUACGUAGGUGGCAAGCGUUAUCCGGAUUUAUUGGGCGUAAAGGGAACGCAGGCGGUCUUUUAAGUCUGAUGUGAAAGCCUUCGGCUUAACCGGAGUAGUGCAUUGGAAACUGGGAGACUUGAGUGCAGAAGAGGAGAGUGGAACUCCAUGUGUAGCGGUGAAAUGCGUAGAUAUAUGGAAGAACACCAGUGGCGAAAGCGGCUCUCUGGUCUGUAACUGACGCUGAGGUUCGAAAGCGUGGGUAGCAAACAGGAUUAGAUACCCUGGUAGUCCACGCCGUAAAC
rnacentral:rRNA from 1 species